rnacentral:rRNA from 1 species
UACGUAGGGUGCAAGCGUUGUCCGGAAUUAUUGGGCGUAAAGAGCUCGUAGGCGGUUUGUCGCGUCGGCCGUGAAAUCUCCACGCUUAACGUGGAGCGUGCGGUCGAUACGGGCAGACUUGAGUUCGGUAGGGGAGACUGGAAUUCCUGGUGUAGCGGUGAAAUGCGCAGAUAUCAGGAGGAACACCGGUGGCGAAGGCGGUUCUCUGGGCAUUACCUGACGCUGAGGAGCGAAAGUGUGGGGGAGCGAACAGG